GACAGAGGGUGCAAACGUUGCUCGGAAUUACUGGGCGUAAAGCGCGUGUAGGUGGAUUGGUGUGUCAGAUGUGAAAGCCCUGGGCUCAACCCAGGAACUGCACCUGAAACUACCAGUCUUGAGUGGUGGAGAGGGAAGUGGAAUUCCUGGUGUAGAGGUGAAAUUCGUAGAUAUCAGGAGGAACACCAGUGGCGAAAGCGGCGCACUGGACCACAACUGACGCUGAGGCGCGAAAGCUAGGGGAGCAAACAGG
rnacentral:rRNA from 1 species